CUUAUGCUAAAGUCUUUAAGUCUUUAUCUGGUUGGAAAAUUGAGAUUUUUCACAGUUUAAGAUAAAUAAUGAAUCAGUUAACUGUUUGUUGUAGUUCUACAUACAAAGUCUCUGGUACUUUCUUAUAUGUCUACUGUUUGGUUAUUGACACUGCCAGUAAUGUAAAGGUGUGUGUGGGGAGGUCCUCACUGUCUCUUAGGUAAAAGCUUAGACAUGAUCACGUCUGUGUGGUCAUCCUCUGAUGUGAAAGUUUCAAGUGUCCAGAUUUGUGUCCUUUGCAGCCGUUAACAAUUUCUCUAAACAGAUGUUCACUCAAAUGAACCUCUGCUUGCAUUGUCAGUGUCACUAAGCAACUGGAUUAAAGGCGCUCUGAGUUUUUAUGUAAACAAACAAAAGCUAUGUGUUCUUACAUUGUUGACCCAUCUAAACACACUGUGUGUACCCUUGAGGUCUAACAGAUGGAUUGAAUGCAUUUAUUUUUUUAACAUUUUGAAACCUUGUUAACGCCCAUCUUUUUUCUAGCUUGCGAUCUUCUUCUUCCCCGUCUGUGUGGGCCAUUGCUGUGUAUGGUGGGACGUUACCGCCGCCUGUAGGACGGUGGAAUAGUGUGAAUCCAUUGGCUCCAUUAGCUCAAACACACGUCAGCUAUGAGCUGGAGGAUGAUGUGGCGGUUAUACGACUCAAUGAUCCAACAGCCAAGGUGAACACACUGUCAGUGCAGAUGCAGUCUGAGCUGAUGGGGGAGAUCUGGUCGAACGGAGCUCUGAAAAAGUGCCGUUUUCAUCUGUUUCACUUGCCGGUGCAGUUUGUGCCAGUUCCAAAUUGCCACAAGAAACAUAAAUAAAAUAAAAAAAAAGGUCCCAGGGACACCAGAGGUCAUGUUGGGAUUGCUGCCCGGAGCAGGCGGCACUCAGAGACUGCCUAAAAUGGUGGGUCUCCCUGGAGUGUUUGACAUGAUGCUGACAGGCGGGAACAUCAGGGCAGAUAAAGCCAAGAAGACGGCUCUAGUGGACCAGCUUGUGGACCCUCUGGAGCUCCAGGACACAGUGAUGGGUGAGGUCUGUGAGAAUGACUGUCAGUGAGAAGGCCCAGAAACAGACUAAAGGCCUCUAUCUUUCGCUCCUGUCAAUGUCAUUGAUGUGUCUGGACCGGAGUGGAGGAGGGCAGAGAGGUAAUCUGGAUGAGGCUGAGGUGGGUUUGUUAAAAAAAUAAGAAAAGUAACUUAACAUCAAUUAAUUUUUUUUUUUUUUCUUCUCCCAGUUGUAUAAAAACAAUGUUUCUGACAAUUUAGUCCCUAAUCAUGGUCCUUAUAUCACAGACUAACUAUAUCAGCUAGAUUCCAGUCUAUUUUUGGCUCUUACACAGAACUUUAGGAAGCUGACAAUGUAUUGUUAACAACACCUUAAACAUGUGUUCUAUUGCCUCAGUGUCAGCAAUAUGACAACUGUACAAUGUGUUGUAUGGAGGCUGGCUGAUGGCUGCUGGUGUAGCCCAGGUAUCAAAAGAUAAAGGCCAGACCACAUCCUAAAGGACACCACAGUGGAGAGCAUCAGCAGGGGACAUGAACAGGUCUACAAAAGAGUGAGAUGCACAUGUAGAUUUGCAUUUCGACAUUCCUCAUUAAUGAUAAAAGCAGGUGGCUCCUCUUUAAAGUGUUACUUUCUUUGUCGUCGUCACACUGUCCAGUCUUUCAGUCUGAUAAAGGCUGCGUUCGAGGACACCGACCUUAAACAGUCCUCAAGGAGGCAGUAGGUACAAUCUCAUGCUCUGGAAUUUCUUCAGUUUAAAGGUUUGCACAGUUUUAAACAAUCCAAAAUGGUUGAAUUGUUUCACACAUUUUGUUGAGAGUAGUACUAAAAAGAUAUUCUGUACUAUCAAUAGUACAGUAAAUGUGCAUUUGUUGUGUAUUUCUGUGUUAUUUGGAGCAAGAUCAGGUAACCUUUUGGCUGCAGACCUAACUUGUUAGCUCAGUGUGAAGAUGCACCGCUGACAUACUGCAUAUUGCACUUUUAUAUUUUGUUUUAUUUAUGUAUUUGCACACUCUACAAGAUGAAUCAGUAUCUUACAUUAAACUGUCCCCCUAAAAUCAGUGGCUGUCUCUGUUCAUUUUCCCCACUAAAAUUACAAAUAUUUGCAAUUUUAUGUAAAGUAUAAACCAUCAGCAAUCAGUAAAUAUAUUGAGUCAAUAAUUACAAACUGUAUCCAGACAGUGACUCCAAAAAACAACUAGUUUUAACCCUCUGUCGCACUCAAUGAGUCUAAUAUGUUUAUUAUCAAUUGUAGAAGUCUUAAAAAAGGCCUCUUUAUCAAUAACAGUGGAGUGGAAGACAAGAGUGUGAAUCCUGAAGUUGAAGAACUCUUCAGGAAAUACAAACUGACAGCUCUUAAUCUAUCUGAUCUUUUUCUCUUAAAAUGAUCACGUGUGCUUGACAUCCCGCACCAGUUGCUUUAUAAAUGAGGCAGUUCUGUGUCUCUAGGAGGGAAUACAGAGACACCCAGUAGAGGGAGACAUUGGAGCCGUGUUCAGAGCUGGCUUUCCUCCCUGCUGUGGUGGUAGGUCUCAGUUUGAUACUGCGAGUUCCUUUGUGAAGCACUACACCACCCUCACGCUUUUAGUUUAAGUACCCACCAUAACAGAGUCCCCUUGUAACACCAGUGGUGACAAAUUUGUAUUUUAGUUUAAUGCACUUUACACUUAUACUCUAUCUACAAUGAUCUGAAAGAAAUGUAGUUUCUAGGGAUUUUUUAGGUUAAGAUUUUACAUUAAAAAAAAAAAUUAAUAACAUUAUUACACAUUAAAUGUUCAUUAAGCUCUUAAAUACAGUCUGUGAUAUAAAGUAGGUAAAACUAGCUCAACAGCUACAUCGGUAAAAUGCUGCUUACAUACUGAUGCAUCAGUAGUAGUUUAUAAUAAUCAGGCACAGUUCCAUUGAGCUGUAAAACAACUACUUGAUAUUUUAAGUACAUUUUAGCAAUAGUACUUCUGUAUUAAGAUUAAAGUAAGAAUAAGAUUUUGAAUGCAGGACUUUUUUACUUUGUGCUGAAGUAUUAUUAGAUUGUUUUAUUGUAUUGAUUUUACUUAAAAAAGGAUCUGAGUACUUCUUCCACAUCUGUUUACCACUGAGGCAUCACCUUGUUAAUGAUCUGUACGAUUGCUGUUGAGGUAAUCAGUUUUCUCGUGCACCAUGUUGUGUGAGACAAGAAUUUAUAUCCCGUAAAAGCUUGAAAAAAAGAAAGUAGAAAAAAAAUGUUUUCUACUUCUGAUCUUUGUUGUUUUUCAUAUCUGUUUAUGAAUCUGUCAUAAGCUCCUGAUUCAUCAUCUGCUGGGUUCAGUUCAAAGUGUAAAACUCUUCAUAUCUUGUUUUUCUCUGUUUAUAUGAAGGCCAAUUUACUUCUGAAACCACAAACGUUGCAAUGUCUAAGCUGUGCUUGUUUUAUUUGUACCUGGAAUAAGAUGUUUACUCAUGCUUCUUUACUUAAAAAUGUUUAUUUAUACUUUAUGAUAUACAGUUGUGGCUGCAAACUACAUAUGGCUAAACAGCCUGUGGCACUGCCCAUUUCUCUGAUAACUGAUCUGGGAUGCUGUUUUAUUUUAUCUUUUUCUUUCAAUGCAAUAAUAGUGCCACAGUAUCCGGCCUUAUCUGCAAUAAACCUCCAACCUCCUGUCUGUGAGUUGUUACGACUGCAGCUCCCCACAAGCACAAGA